ACUUUCUUAAUAAAAUUAUUAUGAAUGAUUUCCAAUCAUUUUGUCUUGGUAAAACUCCGAGAGAAAGUA
rnacentral:tRNA from 1 species